GAUGAACGCUGGCGGUAUGCUUAACACAUGCAAGUCGAACGGACUCUUCGGAGUUAGUGGCGGACGGGUGAGUAACGCGUGAGAAUCUGGCUUUGGGUUCGGGACAACCACUGGAAACGGUGGCUAAUACCGGAUGUGCCGAGAGGUAAAAGAGAAAUUGCCUGAAGAUGAGCUCGCGUCUGAUUAGCUAGUUGGUGAGGUAAAGGCUCACCAAGGCAGCGAUCAGUAGCUGGUCUGAGAGGAUGACCAGCCACACUGGGACUGAGACACGGCCCAGACUCCUACGGGAGGCAGCAGUGGGGAAUUUUCCGCAAUGGGCGAAAGCCUGACGGAGCAGUACCGCGUGAGGGAAGAAGGCUCUUGGGUUGUAAACCUAUUUUCUUAGGGAAGAACAAAAUGACGGUACCUAAGGAAUCAGCAUCGGCUAACUCCGUG
rnacentral:rRNA from 1 species